AAAGAUUUUUCCCCAUCUCAUUAGAGCAAAUCUUUGUUUAACUUUAUAUCCAAUACAUUUCCAGACAGCCGUCCCCUUUAUGUCACAUUUUGGGAAAAUAUAGCCAAUCUGAGUGUACUUCCAUCACUUCAAAAGGAGAACUGAUUUCAGGAUCAAGGCAAAGAAUGGAAGUCUUCAUUCUGUUUGAAAUUCGCUUCAUGGAAGCCAUAAAACUUCUGAGUCCUAAGCUAUAGCUUUACUUUACGUGAAUGCCUCCAAACUCUGCGUGGCAACUUAUUCUCUCAGUGGAGCCUCAGAUGCCUGUAAUGAAGCCAUCUGAAAUAAAUCAGAGGUCAAGAUACAGCCAAGAUAUCCAACAGCCCUCAAGAACCAUUUAUCAAGGUGAUCCCUGGUAUGUAUUUCCACAGUUAGAAUAACUUAAAAAAUUCUUUUAGAGAUUAGAGAAAUGAUGUCAAU
rnacentral:lncRNA from 1 species